rnacentral:lncRNA from 1 species
UAAGUCAAUAUCCAUACUAAGAUAAACUUUUACAUACGGCAACCCACCACAAAGAAAUCCUUGCCUAUGGCGCUAAAGACUAGGCUCUAUAACCAGCAACUCAGAUCCCAGCUCCAUCCCUAUUUUAUCUGUGAAUGACAAGAAGUAAGUUCACAUAACUCAAUAUGAUAAAAAUCAAGUUGCAGGUGUAAUAUGCAGUGACAAGGAAUUUAGUAUAUCUAUAUGCAUUUCUCUUAUACAACCCAAGUCAUGCCUUAGGACCACCUUACAACUAACCGUCAUUUACCUACCUCGAAAGACCAGUUAUUCAAUAACACAUACAACAACAGUAAAUCCAGUAUCCCCAUAAGUACCCUGUCUAUACCACCUACCUCCUGCCUCAACACUACCCUAGUAUAACACCAGCCCCAUUUAUCCCGGUAAACUAUUCGGGUUGCUUAUCAAACGUGACUCCCCGGCCGAAGUCACACCCUAAGCGCCCCUGUUCACAUUCAUCACCAAUAUCGACUACCCGUACGCCAUUCUCUACCCCUUAACCCCAUUAGGCCAUACACACACACACACACACACACACACACCACUAUCUCGUGUCACCAACAUCGGCGACUCGCAUCCCACACCUCGACCCCAAGAGGCCACACACGCACACAAAUACUAUUACUGCACGUCACCAACAUCGGCGACUCAUACUCACACCUCCACCUCUCGACCCCAAUGGCCACUCACACACACAAUACCGUUCUCGCACGUCACCAACAUCGGCGACUCAUGCUCACUCCUCCACACCUCGACCCCAAUAGGCCACGCACGCACACAAAUACCAUUAUCUCACGUCACCAGCAACGAUGACUCAUACUCACUCCACCUCUCGGCCCCAAUGGCCACUCACACACACAAUACCGUUCUCGCACGUCACCAACAUCGGCGACUCAUGCUCACUCCUCCACACCUCGACCCCAAUAGGCCACUCACGCACACAAAUGCCAUUAUCUCACGUCACUAGCAUCGGUGACUCAUACUCACUCCACCUCUCGGCCCCAAUGGCCACUCACACACACAAUACCGUUCUCGCACGUCACCAACAUCGGCGACUCAUGCUCACUCCUCCACAUCUCGACCCUAAUAGGCCACGCACGCACACAAAUACCAUUAUCUCACGUCACCAGCAUCGGUGACUCAUGCUUACUCCUCUACCUCUCGACCUUAUUAGGCCACACACAACAACACUUCACGCAUACGCCGGCGAUGUUCCCUCGCCAACCUUUAAAUUUAUAGCAACUAUACCAACCUAUCUCCCCUCACCACACUCCCGCUACACCAUUACCAAAGCGCCCUUACUCUCCCACCCUAAACCAUACUCUACAAUCCCCUCUUGUGCCAUCC